rnacentral:rRNA from 1 species
GUUUGACCUCAAAUCAGGUAGGAGUGCCCGCUGAU